CAGCAGCCGCGGGAAAACGUAGGUGGCAAGCGUUGUCCGGAAUUAUUGGGCGUAAAGCGCGCGCAGGCGGAUCAGUUAGUCUGUCUUAAAAGUUCGGGGCUUAACCCCGUGAUGGGAUGGAAACUGCUGAUCUAGAGUAUCGGAGAGGAAAGUGGAAUUCCUAGUGUAGCGGUGAAAUGCGUAGAUAUUAGGAAGAACACCAGUGGCGAAGGCGACUUUCUGGACGAAAACUGACGCUGAGGCGCGAAAGCCAGGGGAGCGAACGGGAUUAGAUACCCCGGUAGUCCCUGUCUCUUAUACA
rnacentral:rRNA from 1 species